rnacentral:rRNA from 1 species
GAUGAACGCUGGCGGCGUGCUUAAUACAUGCAAGUCGAGCGGAAGGACGAGAAGCGUGGCUGUCUGAUGUUAACCGCGGAAGGGAGAUGAAUACGUGGAAAACCUACCUUUAGGACACGAAUAACAACGGGAGAUCGUAGCUAAUACGGGCUAAUAUUUAUAACGGCAUGGUUAAAAAGUGAAAGACGGUCUUGCGGCCACUUAUAGAUGGAUCCGCGUUGCAUUAGCUAGUUGGUAAGGUAACGGCUUACCAAGGCAACGGUGCAUAGCUCACCUGAGAGAGUGAUCGGCCACACUGGGACUGAGACACGGUCCAGACUCCUACGGGAGGCAGCAGUAGGGAAUCUUGCGCAAUGGGCGAAAGCCUGAUGGAGCAAUGCCGCGUGAGUGAUGAAGGUCUUCGGAUUGUAAAACACUGUUUUUAGGGAAGAACAUAUGUGUAAGAAAAUGUGCACAUAAUGACGGUACCUAAACAGAAAGCGACGGCUAACUACGUG